AGUCGAACGAUGAAGCCCUUCGGGGUGGAUUAGUGGCGAACGGGUGAGUAACACGUGGGCAAUCUGCCCUUCACUCUGGGACAAGCCCUGGAAACGGGGUCUAAUACCGGAUACGAGCUUCCAAGGCAUCUUGGAGGUUGGAAAGCUCCGGCGGUGAAGGAUGAGCCCGCGGCCUAUCAGCUUGUUGGUGAGGUAAUGGCUCACCAAGGCGACGACGGGUAGCCGGCCUGAGAGGGCGACCGGCCACACUGGGACUGAGACACGGCCCAGACUCCUACGGGAGGCAGCAGUGGGGAAUAUUGCACAAUGGGCGAAAGCCUGAUGCAGCGACGCCGCGUGAGGGAUGACGGCCUUCGGGUUGUAAACCUCUUUCAGCAGGGAAGAAGCGAAAGUGACGGUACCUGCAGAAGAAGCGCCGGCUAACUACGUGCCAGCAGCCGCGGUAAUACGUAGGGCGCAAGCGUUGUCCGGAAUUAUUGGGCGUAAAGAGCUCGUAGGCGGCUUGUCACGUCGAUUGUGAAAGCCCGAGGCUUAACCUCGGGUCUGCAGUCGAUACGGGCUAGCUAGAGUGUGGUAGGGGAGAUCGGAAUUCCUGGUGUAGCGGUGAAAUGCGCAGA
rnacentral:rRNA from 1 species